GUGAAUCAUCGAAUUUUUGAACGCAAAUUGCGCUUUCUGUUAGUCCGGAAAGUAUGCCUGGUUGAGGGUCAGUUAAAUAAAAAUCGGUGUUGUUGCUGCCGUUCGUGGGUACGCGUCGGGAUUGGGUCGACUUACCUUCGUUUGAGGGGCUUAAAAUUUUUGGAGGAUUUUCGAACGUAGUUAAAUCGCUGACGGACGUUUGAGAUAUCGAAUGUUUAUU
rnacentral:misc_RNA from 1 species